CCACUGGACGUACAGAGGUGAAAAUGGUAUCGAACAUCUUGUCUCAGUCCGGGAAAGUCGGAAAAAUGUUGGCGUAGUCCCUAAAGGCCAAAUCCUGAACCUUUUUUAAAAUCCUGAGGUGUUUUCCACAUGUGCUGAAAGGGAGAUGUGCUUUCAGGAAUAUUAAAACACAAUUGGGGCCACAGAAGACUUGACCUCAAUGCUUAUGAAUGUGCCAGUGAAAAAUCCAGAGGAGGAAGACUUCUCUGACACGCUGCUCAGUGCGACUUAAGCACGUAAGCACUAGAUCAGGACCCCGCUGACCACAGACACACUCAGAGCCUGAUACCGGACAGAUGGCAGAGCCGGCUGGAUUGACUUGUAGUCCCUGAAGGAAGCCAAUCAAAAACUGUCACAGAAACGAUGAACUGGACAAUGACACAAUCCAUCAAUCGGGCCAUCAAGUGACCAAUUAUUUACUCACCAUCCAAUAAAAUGUCUCUUUCAUGCCCCAGUGAUGGCAGGGUCCUUUUGGACU